CUGAUCUGUCUGUGCUGUGCUCCAAUAGGGAGAGCUGAAGGACCUGACCCAGAAGGUAGAGCUGCUGGAGAAGUUUCGGGACAACUGUUUGGCAAUUUUGGAGAGCAAGGGCCUCGAUCCAGCUUUAGGCAGUGAGACCCUGGCAUCACGACAAGAAUCCACUACUGAUCACAUGGACUCUAUGGUGAGGGCAUGGGUGUGAAAGGGCACAAGGGCUGAGUGACUGUGGGGCUCUGUAAAUCUAAGAAGUUCUCUGCUAUAUAUUCCAUAAACUCCAAGAAACAGCCUUUGAUUAUCUGUGAUGGUAGAAAAGAGAAAUGGGACGUGUACUCAAAAUAGCAUAUUUUACUUGAAAGGCAGCUUUGUGCUUACAAAUAUAAGUGAGUCUGAAUUGAAAAUUUAAAACACAUAAUAGGUAAACCUGUAGAGAGAGCUUUCUCGUUCUUCUGUUCUAUACUUUAUCAAAUUUCUCUCCUGACUCCUUUGUUGAGAACUGUGUGGAAAGGAUGUUAGCCAUCAUCUAAUGCAAGUCUGGUUUUAUAUGAAGAUUUGUUUACUACAUUGUGCUUUCCUCUUAGUUGCUGUUAGAAACUUUGCAAGGGGAGCUGAAGCUUUUUAACGAAACAGCCA
rnacentral:sRNA from 1 species